CCCCAGCGCCACAAGUGGGAACCACUUUUAUUGGGUCUAAAGCAUCCGUAGCCGGCUCGGCAAAUGCCUUGUGAAAUGGUCGCGCUCAACGCGACCACGUGCAAGGUAGACUACCGAGCUAGGGACCAGGAGAGGUUGGCAGUAUUCCCGGGGGAGCGGUAAAAUGUUAUAAUCCCGGGAGGACUACCGAUGGCGAAGGCAGCCAACCAGCAUGGAUCCGACGGUGAGGGAUGAAAGCUAGGGGAGCGAUCCGG
rnacentral:rRNA from 1 species